CGCCGGCUCCAGGUUUCCCCUCCCAGCGUGGGGUGGCAGCCUGGAGAGGCAUCUGCAGAAACCACGCGAGCCCCGGGGAGGAGAGCCCAUGGUGCACACAUAGGCGCGUGUCGGGGACCCCAAGCCCCUGGGCCCCGGGCACACUCGCAGAACCGCUGCAGGGACGUGGCCCAAGCUGGAAUUGCCCUGCGCACAGGCCAGGACCUUUGGGAGCAGCGACUGUCGAGAUAAGGUCAACGGCGGGCCCGCGGUGACUCAGCUCCCCUUGGCCCCGAGGAAGCUCGGCUGGCCCGGGGGGGCGGGGCCUGCGACGCUCCGCCCCCUGCUCCGGCUCCCGGAAGGCGCCCCACACCACCCCCAGCUUCCCAGAGGCGCCCAGAUUUCCCACGGGUUUUCCUGGUGGUGUCGUAACGAGCCCGGCCCUUUCGGAGCGUCCCAGGGCCCCGAGUCAGCUCCCUGUGACGGGACACAUGAGGAUCUGAGCGCCGCACGCUCCCUGACUGUGUGUGUGCGUGUGGUAAGGGAGAACACCAGUUUCAAAGCAGCUCUUCUGGCCCGGCUUGAUGGUUUUCCUCGUACUUCCUCCCUCUGGGACCCUACAGUAGGCAGAGGGGAGCGGGACUCACCGGGCCCCUAUGCCAGGCCUGCCCUCCUCUUCAUGGUCACAGCCCCACGAC
rnacentral:lncRNA from 1 species